rnacentral:tRNA from 1 species
GGGGUUGUGGCUCAGUGGUGGAGCGCUCGCCUAGCAUGUGUGAAGUGCUGGGUUCAAUCCUCAGUACCACA